rnacentral:sRNA from 1 species
GCUGGGUGCAGUGGUGCAUGCCUGUAAUCCUAGUGGCUCCGGAGGCUGAGACAGGAGGAUUGUGAGUUUAAAGCCAGCCUCAGCAAUGGCAAGGUGCUAAGCAACUCAGUGAGAUCCUGUCUCUA